rnacentral:rRNA from 1 species
AUGCUGUGAGCUCGAUGAGUAGGGCGGGACACGUGGUAUCCUGUCUGAAUAUGGGGGGACCAUCCUCCAAGGCUAAAUACUCCUGACUGACCGAUAGUGAACCAGUACCGUGAGGGAAAGGCGAAAAGAACCCCGGCGAGGGGAGUGAAACAGAACCUGAAACCGUGUACGUACAAGCAGUGGGAGCCUCUCUUUAUGGGGGGUGACUGCGUACCUUUUGUAUAAUGGGUCAGCGACUUAUAUUCUGUAGCAAGGUUAACCGCAUAGGGGAGCCGAAGGGAAACCGAGUCUUAACCGGGCGUUAAGUUGCAGGGUAUAGACCCGAAACCCGGUGAUCUAGCCAUGGGCAGGUUGAAGGUUGGGUAACACUAACUGGAGGACCGAACCGACUAAUGUUGAAAAAUUAGCGGAUGACCUGUGGCUGGGGGUGAAAGGCCAAUCAAACCGGGAGAUAGCUGGUUCUCCCCGAAAGCUAUUUAGGUAGCGCCUCGUGAAUUCAUCUCCGGGGGUAGAGCACUGUUUCGGCUAGGGGGCCAUCCCGGCUUACCAACCCGAUGCAAACUGCGAAUACCGGAGAAUGUUAUCACGGGAGACACACGGCGGGUGCUAACGUCCGUCGUGAAGAGGGAAACAACCCAGACCGCCAGCUAAGGUCCCAAAGUCAUGGUUAAGUGGGAAACGAUGUGGGAAGGCCCAGACAGCCAGGAUGUUGGCUUAGAAGCAGCCAUCAUUUAAAGAAAGCGUAAUAGCUCACUGGUCGAGUCGGCCUGCGCGGAAGAUGUAACGGGGCUAAACCAUGCACCGAAGCUGCGGCAGCGACACUUUAGUGUUGUUGGGUAGGGGAGCGUUCUGUAAGCCGUUGAAGGUGUCCUGUGAGGGGUGCUGGAGGUAUCAGAAGUGCGAAUGCUGACAUAAGUAACGAUAAAGCGGGUGAAAAGCCCGCUCGCCGGAAGACCAAGGGUUCCUGUCCAACGUUAAUCGGGGCAGGGUGAGUCGACCCCUAAGGCGAGGCCGAAAGGCGUAGUCGAUGGGAAACGGGUUAAUAUUCCCGUACUUGGUGUUACUGCGAAGGGGGGACGGAGAAGGCUAUGUUGGCCGGGCGACGGUAGUCCCGGUUUAAGCGUGUAGGCUGGUUUUCCAGGCAAAUCCGGAAAAUCAAGGCUGAGGCGUGAUGACGAGGCACCACGGUGCUGAAGCAACAAAUGCCCUGCUUCCAGGAAAAGCCUCUAAGCAUCAGGUAACAUCAAAUCGUACCCCAAACCGACACAGGUGGUCAGGUAGAGAAUACCAAGGCGCUUGAGAGAACUCGGGUGAAGGAACUAGGCAAAAUGGUGCCGUAACUUCGGGAGAAGGCACGCUGACACGUAGGUGAAGUGAUUUACUCAUGGAGCUGAAGUCAGUCGAAGAUACCAGCUGGCUGCAACUGUUUAUUAAAAACACAGCACUGUGCAAACACGAAAGUGGACGUAUACGGUGUGACGCCUGCCCGGUGCCGGAAGGUUAAUUGAUGGGGUCAGCGCAAGCGAAGCUCCUGAUCGAAGCCCCGGUAAACGGCGGCCGUAACUAUAACGGUCCUAAGGUAGCGAAAUUCCUUGUCGGGUAAGUUCCGACCUGCACGAAUGGCGUAAUGAUGGCCAGGCUGUCUCCACCCGAGACUCAGUGAAAUUGAACUCGCUGUGAAGAUGCAGUGUACCCGCGGCAAGACGGAAAGACCCCGUGAACCUUUACUAUAGCUUGACACUGAACAUUGAGCCUUGAUGUGUAGGAUAGGUGGGAGGCUUUGAAGCGUGGACGCCAGUCUGCGUGGAGCCGACCUUGAAAUACCACCCUUUAAUGUUUGAUGUUCUAACGUGGACCCGUAAUCCGGGUUGCGGACAGUGUCUGGUGGGUAGUUUGACUGGGGCGGUCUCCUCCUAAAGAGUAACGGAGGAGCACGAAGGUUGGCUAAUCCUGGUCGGACAUCAGGAGGUUAGUGCAAUGGCAUAAGCCAGCUUGACUGCGAGCGUGACGGCGCGAGCAGGUGCGAAAGCAGGUCAUAGUGAUCCGGUGGUUCUGAAUGGAAGGGCCAUCGCUCAACGGAUAAAAGGUACUCCGGGGAUAACAGGCUGAUACCGCCCAAGAGUUCAUAUCGACGGCGGUGUUUGGCACCUCGAUGUCGGCUCAUCACAUCCUGGGGCUGAAGUAGGUCCCAAGGGUAUGGCUGUUCGCCAUUUAAAGUGGUACGCGAGCUGGGUUUAGAACGUCGUGAGACAGUUCGGUCC